UACGUAGGGCGCAAGCGUUGUCCGGAAUUAUUGGGCGUAAAGAGCUCGUAGGCGGUCUGUCGCGUCUGUUGUGAAAACUCGAGGCUCAACCUCGGGCUUGCAGUGGAUACGGGCAGACUAGAGUGCGGUAGGGGAGACUGGAAUUCCUGGUGUAGCGGUGGAAUGCGCAGAUAUCAGGAGGAACACCGAUGGCGAAGGCGGCAUCCUGGACCAUUACUGACGCUGAGGAGCGAAAGCCAGGGGAGCAAACGGG
rnacentral:rRNA from 1 species